GACGAACGCUGGCGGCGUGCUUAACACAUGCAAGUCGAACGGAAAGGCCCUGCUUUUGUGGGGUGCUCGGGUGGCGAACGGGUGAGUAACACGUGAGUAACCUGCCCUUGACUUUGGGACAACUUCAGGAAACUGGGGCUAAUACCGGAUAGGAGCUCCUGCUGCAUGGUGGGGGUUGGAAAGUUUCGGCGGUUGGGGAUGGACUCGCGGCUUAUCAGCUUGUUGGUGGGGUAGUGGCUUACCAAGGCUUUGACGGGUAGCCGGCCUGAGAGGGUGACCGGCCACAUUGGGACUGAGAUACGGCCCAGACUCCUACGGGAGGCAGCAGUGGGGAAUAUUGCACAAUGGGCGGAAGCCUGAUGCAGCAACGCCGCGUGCGGGAUGACGGCCUUCGGGUUGUAAACCGCUUUCGCCUGUGACGAAGCGUGAGUGACGGUAAUGGGUAAAGAAGCACCGGCUAACUACGUG
rnacentral:rRNA from 1 species